rnacentral:lncRNA from 1 species
ACAGGAGCGCCCCAAGGAGAAACACUAGGCCUGAUAAAACCUUUAUCCAGUAACUCCUGUAGUUGUUCCUUCAGCUCUUUCAAUUCAGCUGGAGCCAUUCGAUAUGGAGCUUUUGAUAUUGGACCAGAGCCAGGAAUUAAGUCGAUGGAGAACUCAAUCUCCCUAUCAGGGGGUAAUUCUGGCAAUUCAUCUGGAAACACAUCU